CUCUCUCUCUCUCUCUCUCUCUCUCUCUCUCGUUCUCUCCUCCAAAAUCACGACGACACUUCCUCUUCUCUCUUUCUUCUCCAGACAAUGACAGAGUCUCUUCUCCAUUGAAAAUUGACCAACCUCAACCUUCGUCUUUCCAAACCAGGCAGCAUGUAGGGAGUUGUCCUUGUUUUAUUCGAAGUGCCUAUGUGCCUCAUGAGACCAGGAAGGAGAGAAAACAAAAAAACAGUUUAGAAGGAUAGUCUGAUAUUUGAUGAUGGUGAUGAUGUAGAAAUCUGCCAAAAACGGAAAAGAAGAGAGAUGGAGGACUUAGAAGAAGCUUAUAGUAUACAGACCCAAUUGGAUGCAAAAGUUAAUGAUAUUGAGGUGCUUAAUAUCAAGUUGGAAGAGAUCAAUGCUGGAAGAGAAAAAGACAAAAGUGAGGAUCAGGGAGACUUGACAACUUUACUUGUGCAUGAGAAAAAGAUAAACAACAGAUUCAAGAAGAUGGAGUUGGCUAGGAAAGUUCAAUCAAAAUUUGACGAAUUUGAUCGCCUGUAAUUAGUCUCCUUGUUUAGGUUUUUCUCCAGAUUGUUACUGACUGUGAUAUACCGUUUUUAAUUUAAAGGUUUAUUAUUAUUUUAUUCUUUUAA